rnacentral:rRNA from 1 species
CCUACGGGAUGCAGCAGUGGGGAAUAUCGCACAAUGGGCGCAAGCCUGAUGCAGCCAUGCCGCGUGAGUGAAGAAGGCCUUAGGGUUGUAAAGCUCUUUCACCGGUGAAGAUAAUGACGGUAACCGGAGAAGAAGCCCCGGCUAACUUCGUGCCAGCAGCCGCGGUAAUACGAAGGGGGCUAGCGUUGUUCGGAAUUACUGGGCGUAAAGCGCGCGUAGGCGGAUAGAUAAGUCAGAGGUGAAAUCCCGGGGCUCAACCCCGGAAUUGCCUUUGAUACUGUUUAUCUUGAGUGCAGAAGAGGUAAGUGGAAUUCCGAGUGUAGAGGUGAAAUUCGUAGAUAUUCGGAGGAACACUAGUGGCGAAGGCGGCUUACUGGUCUGCAACUGACGCUGAGGCGCGAAAGCGUGGGGAGCAAACAGGAUUAGAUACCCUGGUAGUC